rnacentral:misc_RNA from 1 species
UUGAAAUCCUUAGGAUGUUGCUGGCCUUUCGGGGCAUGUGCACUCCGCCUUUUCAACUCACCUGUGCACUCAUUGUAGGCCGGACUUGUAAGAGUCUGUGUCUAUGUUUUUACACACCCCUUUUAAAAGUUUAACAGAAUGUCAUAAUAGACCUUCAAUGGUCGAAAUAAAUUAAUA